rnacentral:rRNA from 1 species
AUGCACGCUGGCGGCGUGCCUAAUCCCUGCCAGUCGAGCGAACAGACGAGGAGCUUGCUCCUCUGACGUUAGCGGCGGACGGGUGAGUAACACGUGGAUAACCUACCUAUAAGACUGGGAUAACUUCGGGAAACCGGAGCUAAUACCGGAUAAUAUAUUGAACCGCAUGGUUCAAUAGUGAAAGACGGUUUUGCUGUCACUUAUAGAUGGAUCCGCGCCGCAUUAGCUAGUUGGUAAGGUAACGGCUUACCAAGGCAACGAUGCGUAGCCGACCUGAGAGGGGGAUCGGCCACACGGGAACUGAGACAGGGUCCAGACUCCUACGGGAGGCAGCAGUAGGGAAUCUUCCGCAAUGGGCGAAAGCCUGACGGAGCAACGCCGCGUGAGUGAUGAAGGUCUUCGGAGCGUAAAACUCUGUUAUUAGGGAAGAACAAAUGUGUAAGUAACUAUGCACGUCUUGACGGUACCUAAUCAGAAAGCCACGGCUAACUACGUG